GUGCUCACUUCAGCAGCACAUAUACUAAAAUUAGAAUGAUACAGAGAAGAUUAGCAUGGCCUCUGUGCAAGGAUGAUGCACAAAUUCAUGAAGCAUUCCAUAUUUUU
ensembl:snRNA U6 U6 spliceosomal RNA